rnacentral:lncRNA from 1 species
UGUGAAUGUCUACAUGACAGUGAAGAUCACAGGGAUUCUGAUGCUCUGCAGUGCAGUCGUCAUCUUUGAGUGUUGGUUCAGAUCAAGGUUCCCAAACAAAGCAGAGGAGACAGACGACGUCAACAGAGUGAUUGAGAUUCAAGCAUCAUGAGCCACAAGCAGAGGAGGACGAUGCUCAGAUCAAUGGAACCAUUGAUUAUUUCAUAUUCUUAGUUUCUACCUGCAGCUGUUUGUGCAGCUGAUAUUUUGUUGGAAUAUUCAGCUGGUUUCAAGUAUUAGUUCCUCCAUGAAAAUGUGAUGGUAUC